rnacentral:rRNA from 1 species
UCCUGCCAUUAGUCAUAUGCUUGUCUCAAAAAUUAACCCCUGUUUGUCUAAGUAUAACCAAUCUAUACUGAAAAACUGCAAAGGGCUCAUUAAAUCAUUUAUCUUUUAUUUGAUAGUACCUUACUACUGGGAUAACCGGGGUAAUUCUAGAGCUAAUACUUGCUAAAAACCCCGACUUUUGGAGGGUUGUUUUUAUUAAAUAAAAAACCAAUGCCCUUCGGGGCUCCUUGGUGAUUAAUAAGAACUAAACAAACCGAAUACCCUUGUGCUGGCAAGGGUUCAUUCAAAUUUCUGCCCUACCAACUUUCGAUGGUUAGGUCUUGGCUAACCAUGGUUUCAACGGGUAACGGGGAAUUAGGUUUCUUUUCCGGAAAGUGAGCCUGACAAACGGCUAACACAUCCAAGGAAGGCAGCAGGCCCGCAAAUUACCCAAUCCUGACCCAGGGAGGUAGUGACAAAAAAUAACAAUACCUGGCCUAAUUAGGCCGGGUAAUUGAAAUGAGUACAAUUUAAAUCCCUUAACAAGAAUCAAUU